rnacentral:rRNA from 1 species
UACAGAGGUCUCAAGCGUUGUUCGGAUUCAUUGGGCGUAAAGGGUGCGUAGGCGGCGCGGUAAGUCGGGUGUGAAAUCUUGGAGCUUAACUCCGAAACUGCACUUGAUACUACUAUGCUAGAGGGUUGUAGAGGAGACCGGAAUUCACGGUGUAGCAGUGAAAUGCGUAGAUAUCGUGAGGAAGACCAGUUGCGAAAGCGGGUCUCUGGGCAAUUCCUGACGCUGAGGCACGAAGGCUAGGGGAGCAAACGGG